GACGUAGGGCGCGAGCGUUGUCCGGAUUUAUUGGGCGUAAAGAGCUCGUAGGCGGUUUGUCGCGUCUGCUGUGAAAUUUCGGGCUCAACCCCGAACUUGCAGUGGGUACGGGCAGACUCGAGUCCGGUAGGGGAGUGUGGAAUUCCCGGUGUAGCGGUGAAAUGCGCAGAUAUCGGAGGAACACCAGUAGCGAAGGCGGCACUCUGGCCGGUACUGACGCUGAGGAGCGAAGCGUGGGAGCGAACAG
rnacentral:rRNA from 1 species